rnacentral:lncRNA from 1 species
GAACAAGUCUGUGAACAAUACUGGAAUGUUUAAGGGAACUUGGGAUUCACUGUAUUUUAAAGAUUGUUUUAAUCAGAUUUAGGGGAAUGGGUAGGUAAAGAGGAUUUGCUUUUUAGGCUAGCCAUUCUAAAUGUUCCAAAAGAAAUCAGGUAUAUUACAAUUAUAAAACCAGCUUAAAAUUUUUGCAAAAAUAAAGUCAUAAAGUUGAUUAUUUAGGACAUUUUCAUUAUUCUGUAUAAGUUGAUUACAUGGUAAUCAAAAACUUCCUUAAAAUGAUUUUUAAAGCUUACUGUAUUUAUCAUUAGAAUAAAAUGAAUUUAAAGCUUAAUAUCAACUAAGCUUAAAAGAACUAGGAUUUUAAAAUUAUUACAGUAAUAAAUUAAAAAUUAUUUUUCUUCAAAGUAGCCACAAAUUUCAAUGUGCACAAAGCCAUCCAUGCACACUAAGCAAACACAUAUCUUCUGAUUCCAUUUUAUUCCUCCCCACUCCUUGAAACCCCAGCAGUCUCUGUCUUAUUAUCUCAUAAUCAUCAUCUGUGGUGCUAAUCCCUGUUAGUCUAUUAAAAGCAGAAGUAUUGACUUCUAAUUUAACACUCCUUGAAAAACAAUGUGGUCUCAGAGGCAGAUAAUCAGAAAGUAUGUUCGGGAGACUGUACAUUCCCACACAGAUCCAUGAUUGGGGGCCUGAAGUUUAUGUAAUUAUGAAGAACAAAAAACUCUAAGAAAAAUAACCAUCAUGAAAUUAGUGAUAAAAAGCCAACUUCUAUUUACACAAUAAGAAGUAAUAAAUUACGAAUUUUUUAAUUCUGCAAAAUUAUAAAGUCUAAAGAAAUAUUACUGCCUGAGUUACUCUGCAAUACAUUUGUUUUGCUUUUUUUAUUAGAUUUUAGAAUUUACUACAGAGGUACAGUUAAUCAAGAUUAGGUGGCACUGGCAUAAGGACAGACAUGUACGUCAAAGAAACAGAAAAGGAUGUCCAGAAAGCAACCCGCACAGAUACCAAACUGACCUUUAACAAAUGUUCUAAGCUAAAAGAUUUGAAGAUUGGGAGCUGAAAUCAUCUGAAUACUUCUCUUUCAUUUGUACCUACCUGGGGCUGCCGCUGGACACCCACACAUGACUUCUGCAUAU